CCGCCCUAUCGGGUUGGCCAACCCGAUCGGGUCAGCUCCCACCCGACCGGUCGGGUCACCCAACCCGAUCGGGUUGA
rnacentral:pre_miRNA from 1 species